AAAGUUAAAUGAUCGUUUGAAUGCUAAAUAAUCACGUAAGAAAGAUAAACAAUCGUAUGAAAAGUUAGACGAUCGUGUAGAUAACUAAAUGAUCGUGUAGGAGGUUGUAGGCAAAAAAGAAAAUUUAAAGAAGCACUCGUUCAACACUAAGAAUUAGGCAUCCUGAUGUGACCAGGUGAGAAAGAGUUUAGUAUUUUAAGAAGAUAAGGUAAGCAUUUCAAGAGAUAUGUCUAACCUUGAGUUGAUGGUUGGUUGCAUGUUGAGCUUAAGAUGGUAGCAUGGUCUAAUGAGUUAUAAGUUUAAGUGUUGAUCUGCUUGUUGAGAAUCACUAGGCGAGAAGAAGAAGCCAAAGUUAAGCAUUUUGAAAUGAAGAAAACUAAGCAUUUUGUGAGUGAUUUUUAUAAAGGAUUUGAACAAAAGAAGAAGCUAGCAAAUCAUAGAGGAACUUUCCUGAAGACUACACAAGAAGACUUUAUUACUACGCGAGAAGAGGUUCGUCAGAAGACAAAAGUGGUGCACAUGGAGUUUAUGUGACUUGAGAUAGGUAGCUUUCGAUGCUGACAUGCAUGUUCAGGAGAUAGAAGUUUCUAGCCCGAAUCUACCUAUAAAAUGAUUCCAUCACCAUAAGAAGGAGAGCAAAGUCUGAAUUGACCGUCACAAAGAGGCCUGAAUGGGCUAAAUCCUAGAGAGUGGUAGAAAGGAAUCCCUUACCAUCAUUUGUAAAACAUUUCUUCUUCUUCUCCAGUUAGUCUGUAAGUGAGAACUUGAGAUCUGAGUAGAGAAAAGUUCAUCCCUCAUCUUCCUCUAACUUGUAAUGUAAUUUCUACUUUUUCCAUUUUUGUACUUAUUUAUAAUGUGUUUAUUCAUAUUGUACAAUUGCCAAAGGCCUA